GACGAACGCUGGCGGCGUGCUUAACACAUGCAAGUCGAACGGAAAGGCCCUGCUUUUGUGGGGUGCUCGAGUGGCGAACGGGUGAGUAACACGUGAGUAACCUGCCCUUGACUUUGGGAUAACUUCAGGAAACUGGGGCUAAUACCGGAUAGGAGCUCCUGCUGCAUGGUGGGGGUUGGAAAGUUUCGGCGGUUGGGGAUGGACUCGCGGCUUAUCAGCUUGUUGGUGGGGUAGUGGCUUACCAAGGCUUUGACGGGUAGCCGGCCUGAGAGGGUGACCGGCCCCAGUGGGAUGGGGGACGGGCCACAACGCCAACGGGGGGCAGCGGUGGGAGAUUGUGCGAAAUGGGCCGAGUCCUGAAGGAGCAACCCCGGGUGGGGGAAGGCGGUCUUUGGGGUGUAAACCGUUUUCGCCUGUGACGGAGCGUGGGGGAGGGUACUGGGUAAAAAAACACGGGUAAACCCGUU
rnacentral:rRNA from 1 species